GAGCCUUUGUGAGGACACAACAUAUACGUGCCACAAAGGGUGAAUGUCACAAGCUUCUUUUCAGACAGCCUCUGCCUUCAAAUAUGGAACCACAGGAUAACAUCUGAUGUUUGGCUGUGGAGCUUUUGGCAGUGAGGUUCUGACAGUUCAUAAGGCUGAGUGGGGCUGGCGUUCUUCCUUUGAAAACAUCUCCCAUUCAUUGGGAUUCCUGUGUUGUGAGCUGAGCAACAGUUUCAGCCAAGUAGGAUUUUAAAAAACAACACGCAUGAACACACCUGCCAUCCAAAACCACAGCUUAAGGUCUGCCCCAAAAGAAAUGUUCCACAGUUGUGAGAAAGCAGCCCAGCCUUGGAUGCUGGAUAGAAGAAGGGGGCGAUAAAAUGCAUAGAAGCACUAACAAGGCAGUGGGGCACAACUGCACUCCCUCGUUCCCCACCUCCAGCUCAUGUCUGGUCUUUGCGGGCUGCAGACAGCUCCCCUGUCCUUGUGCUUCAGAAAGGCCUGCUGAACAAAGCUGAAGCCACCAGAGAAACAUCAGAAACAAGAUAAAGACAAAAGAGGGUGUGGAAUCUCCUCAAUUUCUGGAUGCUUGCCAGUUCUCUCCCUCACCCCCCCCCAUGCCAUUCUUCAGAAUAAAGUAAGCCCCAGUGGUUUCUGCUCUGAAUUGACAAGGCAUGGCUGUUCUGAAUGAAUGCUGCAUCAUGUACCCGAGGCAGCGCUAAACUAGUAACAUUUUUUAGAAAUUAAAAAUUCUAAGUAGUGCCAACUCUAGGGGUACAAACCUGAUGAAGUAAUGGCAAACCAUCAGAGCCCACCUCAAUGAGACAUUACCCUCAAUGUGAUCAGGGAACACCUUCCCACUGCUCCAAAGGACCACUAGGUACACUCACACAAAUGGAUAGAAGAACGCAAGUGAAAAUGCUACCAAAAACAUACAGAAGAUCACUACCACAAUGGAAGCUUUGCCAGCUGAAAAAAAUAUGCCAAAUACCCAUGGAAAAGAUUGCAAUUAAAGGUGUGAUCAGUCAGAGAAAUAGCUCGCAUUUUGGACCACUUGUGGCAUAGUCUAAUACAAGCUAUUUUCCAGCGAUUACACAACAUACAGAAGCUUGAAAAUACCCUUAAAGGUCAUUUAAAGGGAGAAUGCCCUCAGCAAACUUACUCUUUCUAGUGCAAUCAGACACAAUCUUUACUUACCAUCCGAUUGAACCCUAAGUGUAUGUCAUGUAAUAGAUAAUAAUUAUGUGCCAACAAGUCAUGUAGUUGAUGGGGAAAACCAUCAAAAUUAACAAUGAGAACUGCGGUGCAAACAACAGGUCAAUUCUUUGUCUAGUUAUGUCCUUAAUUCCAACAGAGGUAUCUGCAUAUCCCCAUAUAAUAAGUAGUAAUAUGAUAGAGAAAAAUAAAAUUUUAUUUAUAUUUACAGUAUGUAUUUUCGUGUUUGUUUCCUUCAGGCCAAAAGGCAGAAUACCAAUGCAGAAGUGUACAGACUUCCGUAUCUUGGAAGGCGAACAUACAUAUCAAGAAAUACUAUGUUCUGCCCUGUCGAAACAACUAUUCUUAAUUGGGGAAGCAAAGGAAAAAUAGUGGUUCUUUCUAAGUUUUUACUACUAGCAUUCUCUAGUCAGACUAUUGAACAGGAGCAGCAUACCUAGAAAAGCAACAGAUUGAAAGAAAGAUGCAGCUUACCACAAUUGAUCAGAGAGACAUAUUGUAUAAAGCAAAGGGCUUUACAGAUGAUUGAGGUAGGCCAGGUUCCCUAAGCUAGUGUUUCUGAGUACUAGGGGGUAUACAAUAAAUUGGUUCAGAGGAAAAUAGUCCAGGCAGCAAAUGUUUGUGCUUUGCAGUUUUUGAAUGUAACAAAAAUGACUGAAAUGAGACCGACACUAAGUUCUGUCCAUUUAAGUGACAGGAUCCAUUUAAGAACAUUACAUGGAAUCUGCCCUUCCUUAUUGCUUUGGUCUUUUGCUUGCCCCUCAGUGUCAUUGUUGUAACCAUAAAAAUGCUACACAGCUCUGGAAAAAAUUGAAUUUUGGGGAUUGAUGCUCAAGUCUGUUGCUUUAGGAGAGAAUCCCUGAAGGGGCUUGUCUGGACUCUAGAAAGUAUAUUGAACAACCUCUCACACAAUAGGUUAAGAAUCUCAUUCAUUAAUUCUCUUGGCAAACUAAUACUUAAGUAAGCAAGACUGGAAAAACUAAGAACUACUGAAUUAUUACCCAGAGUCAAAUGGUGAUAAUGCAAGAACCACAUUUGUUUUUCACUUUUUAAAAAAAACCUGCAAAAAUUAAUAUAACUAGCACAUCAGUUA